rnacentral:rRNA from 1 species
UCCUACGGGGGGCAGCAGUGGGGAAUAUUGCACAAUGGGGGGAACUCUGAUGCAGCGACGCCGCGUGGGCGAGGAAGUAUUUCGGUAUGUAAAGCCCUAUCGGCAGGGAAGAAGAAAUGACGGUACCUGAAUAAGAAGCACCGGCUAAAUACGUGCCAGCAGCCGCGGUAAUACGUAUGGUGCAAGCGUUAUCCGGAUUUACUGGGUGUAAAGGGAGCGUAGACGGCCAGACAAGUCUGAAGUGAAAAUCCAGCGCUUAACGUUGGAAGUGCUUUGGAAACUGCCGGGCUGGAGUGCAGGAGGGG